GAUGAACGCUGGCGGCGCGCCUAACACAUGCAAGUCGAACGGCACCUGCCCUCGGGCAGAAGCGAGUGGCGAACGGCUGAGUAACACGUGGAGAACCUGCCCCCUCCCCCGGGAUAGCCGCCCGAAAGGACGGGUAAUACCGGAUACCCCCGGGCGCCGCAUGGCGCCCGGGCUAAAGCCCCGACGGGAGGGGAUGGCUCCGCGGCCCAUCAGGUAGACGGCGGGGUGACGGCCCACCGUGCCGACAACGGGUAGCCGGGUUGAGAGACCGACCGGCCAGAUUGGGACUGAGACACGGCCCAGACUCCUACGGGAGGCAGCAGUGGGGAAUCUUGCGCAAUGGGGGGAACCCUGACGCAGCGACGCCGCGUGCGGGACGGAGGCCUUCGGGUCGUAAACCGCUUUCAGCAGGGAAGAGUCAAGACUGUACCUGCAGAAGAAGCCCCGGCUAACUACGUGCCAGCAGCCGCGGUAAUACGUAGGGGGCGAGCGUUAUCCGGAUUCAUUGGGCGUAAAGCGCGCGUAGGCGGCCCGGCAGGCCGGGGUUCGAAAGCCGGGGGGCUCAACCCCCCGAAGCCCCCGGAACCUCCGCGGCUUGGGUCCGGUAGGGGAGGGUGGAACACCCGGUGUAGCGGUGGAAUGCGCAGAUAUCGGGUGGAACACCGGUGGCGAAGGCGGCCCUCUGGGCCGAGACCGACGCUGAGGCGCGAAAGCUGGGGGAGCGAACAGGAUUAGAUACCCUGGUAGUCCCAGCCGUAAACGAUGGACGCCAGGUGUGGGGGGACGAUCCCCCCGUGCCGCAGCCAACGCAUUAAGCGUCCCGCCUGGGGAGUACGGCCGCAAGGCUAAAACUCAAAGGAAUUGACGGGGGCCCGCACAAGCAGCGGAGCAUGUGGCUUAAUUCGAAGCAACGCGAAGAACCUUACCAGGGCUUGACAUAUGGGUGAAGCGGGGGAGACCCCGUGGCCGAGAGGAGCCCAUACAGGUGGUGCAUGGCUGUCGUCAGCUCGUGUCGUGAGAUGUUGGGUUAAGUCCCGCAACGAGCGCAACCCCCGCCGCGUGUUGCCAUCGGGUGAUGCCGGGAACCCACGCGGGACCGCCGCCGUCAAGGCGGAGGAGGGCGGGGACGACGUCAAGUCAUCAUGCCCCUUAUGCCCUGGGCUGCACACGUGCUACAAUGGCCGGUACAGAGGGAUGCCACCCCGCGAGGGGGAGCGGAUCCCGGAAAGCCGGCCCCAGUUCGGAUUGGGGGCUGCAACCCGCCCCCAUGAAGUCGGAGUUGCUAGUAAUCGCGGAUCAGCAUGCCGCGGUGAAUGCGUUCCCGGGCCU
rnacentral:rRNA from 1 species